AGUGCGCUAAUGAAAUUUCUAUAAUUUAUUAUAAUUAUCUCUUGCUCUUCUUAGUGAAAUGUGUCAAUAAAAAAUUUAUAUUAAUCCUUACACAAUAUCUAUGAUGUGUUCUAAUACUGAGAAUAUUCGUUAGUAUUCAAGGUAUAACCCGAGGUGGGUGACAGUGAUUGUUGGAGGUGGUUAAAGGUGGUCGGAGGUGGACGAGGAAGAGGACGAGGAAGACGUGGAGAACGAGGUUUUCUGCACGUAUUCAAGGUAUCUCCUGAGGUGGUUGGCGGUGGUCGUUGGAGGUGGUCGGCGGUGGUCGGAGGUGGACCUGGAGGAGGACGAAGAUUUGUGCAUGGUAUAACUCGAGGUGGUUGGCGGUGGUCGUUGGGGGUGGUU